CAUUCUCUUGUCAUAUGAUGAAUUUCAUGAUUUGUUAUCAUUUCAAAUGCAGUCUGAGCCUUGUUCUGAAUUUCAAAAUCCCCUUUGACAACAGUAGUACCUGCACAGCUGAGCAAUCAAGGGCCUUCUGACUAAGGGUUGAAUUAUAGUGAACACUACAAUUCAGAGACUUUGAAACAGUUUGAUACAAAACAAUCCAGAGGUUGCUAUGGAUCCCAUCGUCCAUAUCACACAACACAUGACCUCAAGUCAAAGGUCAGAGGUCUCCAGAAUUCUGGCCAACAUGGACACGUGACCAAUAUGGACAAUUAGAAUCAACAGUGACUGUAUUUAAAAACAUAUCUAUGGAACUAAUCAUUCGAAAUCAUUAGGUGCAAUUUGGAUCAAAUUUGCAUAAAAUUGCAUUAUAUGAAAUCCAUAUCUGUCAUUCAUAAUGACUUUAUUAUUAGAAUUGUUUAUGAAUUCGUUUUGCAAUUCAUUUCAGUAUUAUAUGUGAAACAUUACCAGGGUAUGUAAUUGUUUUUGUACUAAUCUGUACUAAUUUAU